AAGACUUAUAUAAAGGAGAGGUAAUUGAAAAACUAGAGAUAGAUAAUAAUAUAUUAGUGUGGAACCAAUAACUAAUAUCUAUAUAGACAAAGUAGAAAGGAGUAACCGAUCUAAGCUAGAAAUAGUUAAAUAAUAAGGAUAUGAAUUGAAACAUCUUAGUAAUAUCUAAUAGAACCAACAGGGAUAAUAAAAAUACCGGUGAGGGAAAUUAUUAUUAAGUAUAAAAGUAAUACCAUGAGGUAUGAAGAUAGUAGUGCUACUACUAAUACGAAUAAGAGAUAUUAAGUUAUAAGUACCGUGAGGGAAAGUGGUAAGGGAGUUGUUAUUGACCGCCCAAAGGUAUUUAAUACCUUAGGGCGGUGAGUAUAUAAUAUACCCUGUAUAAACACUGAUAUAAGGAGCAGCUAUAGUAUAGCGUACCUCUUGUAUAAUGGGUCAGUGAGUCAUAUUGAAUAGCGAAAUAAAUAAUUAUAUAUAAUAAGUAAAGUUAUUGGAUAUGGACCCGAAAGUAUAUGAUCUAUACAUGGUCAGGUUAAAUAGUAGAGAGACCCGCCCUUAGGGGCGGGUGCUAGAUUAUUUAGACCGAACAGGUGGGUGUAGCAAUACCUUCUGAAGAACUGUGUAUCGUUGUGAAAGGCUAAUCUCAUAUACAGAUAGCUGGUUAUCCGUGAAAUAUAUAUUAGUAUAGCCUUUAUUAAUUAUUUACUUGGUAAAUCACUAGAUAUAUGUUGGGAGUAAAUAUAGAACUUAUCAACUGUAUCUAAUAUCUGAACAAGUUAACAUCUCACCUAUAAGAUGAGUGUAUAAUUAAAUAAAGAGUCAGUCUUUAUGCGAUAAGGUAUAAGGACCAAAAGGGAAUAGCCUAGACUGUGAAAUGAAGGUCCCUAAUUAUAGUUAAGUGGAUAUAAUCCCAUGGUAUUAACCAUACUCUAUUUAAGCAAUUAGUCAGUUGAUAUGAUAGUAAUCAUCUGUUAAUGAACGUGUAACAACACACUAAUCGAAUAUAAAUGAAUAGAGGAUGGGAGUAGAUAAUCGGGCCUAUAACUAUAGACCAAAUUACAGAUCCACCCGACCUCCGGUCGGGUGGAUGGUAACGGAUCAUUCUAUGUAUACAAUAGAACAGAUAAUGCUGACUUGAGUAACGUUAGAUAGUAUGAAACUAUCCCCAUAAUGCAUAAGGUAUUACUACUAAUUAACGGCCUCUAAUAUAUAAUAUGAAAAUAUUAUAUAGAUGAGUAAUAUAACUAGAAAUUAAUAUAACCGUACUGUAGUCCGACACUGGUGUGCAAUAUAAUUAAUAUAUAUAUAAUAAUAUAUAAUUAUAUAAUGGGUAUGAGAUAAUCCCUGUGAAUGAACUCGGCAAUUAAGGGUAUAACCUUUAUAAUUUAGUGCGACUGUUUACCAAAAACAUAGCCUACUGCUAACAUGGAAUGUAAGUAUAGUAGGUGAUACCUGCCCGGUGCUAGUAAGAUAAUUAAUAAUAUACUGGUUAACGGCGGUCUUAUCAUGAGGAUCCGAAGGUAGCGAAAUUCCUUGACGUAUAAUUGGCGUCCUGCAUGAAUGAUUACACGAUGCUAUAGAUGUAUCCACAGGGAGCUCAGUGAAAUAGUACUUGCAGUGUAGAUACUGUAUGUAGCAACAGGUUGACGAGAAGACCCUAUGCAGCUUUACUAUAAGACUAUAUUGUUACAAUAUUAUAAUUUAAGUAUAUAAAAUAAUUUAGCUUAUAUAUAUAAUAUAUUUAACUAACUAUACCUUCAGGUAUAGGACAUUAUAGUCUGGUUAGUUUCGAUGGGGCGUCGGCAUCACACAAAAUAACUGAUGUGUCUAACUGAUAAUUAAUAUAAACAUUCUAUUCAUUAUAUAAGAAUAUGAAUAUAAUAGUAUGACCAAGUACAGUAAGACUAGAUUGUAACUAGUACAUAAUAAUAUGUAUAUAACAUAUAUUAAAUGAUAUGGAUAAUAACCUAACUGUGCUAUGAUAAGGAGACUUACAAGUCGACUUAGUACGUAAGUAUAGUAUAAUGAACAGGUGAUUUCUUCAGCAUAGAGUGCCGAUAACGGAUCAAAGUUACGCUAGGGAUAACAGGGUAAUACCGCUAGAGAGUUGAUAUCGUCAGCGGUGUUUGCCACCUCGAUGUCGUCUAGGCUCAACCUCACGGUCGCAGCAACUGUGAAGGGUAGGACUGUUCGUCCUGUAAUGAGCUACUUGAGAUGGGUUAAUUACGGCGUGAGCCAGUAAUGAUUCUAUCAUCUGUUGCAUGUGGCUCUGCUCUAUUAUACGUGUACGAGAGGAUGGUAUAAUAUAGUCCUCUGGUGUAUAACUAGUAAUAUAAGUUAUAAGCUAAGACUAAUAAGGAUACGUAUUGACUGCAUAUCAAAUACUAAACCUAGAGUACCGCCACAUAAACAUUGAAUAUAACAAUGUAAUAGAUGGCCCGACCUUUGGUCGGGCCAUACUAAUAAUAACUAUCUAUCUUUGAACAAUUACCUAUAAAAUAAUAUUAUAUUAUAUAAA
rnacentral:rRNA from 1 species